CCCCCCCCCCCAGACUUUGUUGUGGCUGCCGUGUCGCAUGUGCGUCAGUAGGUGGCAGAGAGGAGAGAGGCAAUGUCUACACUUAGUGUUCUGUCCUGUGAACCUCUGAAUGAUUAGUAGCUUAACAUU